ACCAAAUCCUAAUACAAAAUUGGCAGAUUUUGCUUAGAAGAAAGACCCAAUAUGUGAGUGACCUAUAAGGGAAUGAAAUUAUUAUAUAUAGCAGAGAAUAUGCUAGGAAUCAUUGCGCAGUGAAUUAUUUGUAUUUGUCUUACUCGAUCAUCUUUCUUCUUCUCUAAUUUUCCCCACCUUCCUUUUUUAUGUCAUUAUAAAACUUUCAUAUCCUCCUUUGCUGAAGCUUCAUAGUUUGUAAUAGUUGUUUGUAAUAUUCAAUCAAGGAACCCAUCUCAGUCUUUAUGUUAUUACAUUGUUACAAUGUCUCUUUCAUACUAUGGCCCCCCAUGGAUGAUUCACGGCUCAAAUUUCUUGAAUCUGCUGUUUCCCAAAAGGAUUUUUCUGAUCUCUAUACCAAAGUUGCAAAUCUUUGCUCUGCGUUUGAUAACCAAGAGAAAUUUGUGCAAGAUUUUAUUACUAAUGCAUCUGUUCAUUUAAUAGUGGUGGAACCAGUCUGUCCUCGCCCCACAGAGGUGUGUUUGACACAAGGAACUGCUCCGGCGAUUGCAAUGACUAUGCACCACUAACCGAUAGUGAUUGAGAUUUAUUGUUUCAAUGGUAAAAACCUCGAGGCUUAGGUUUUUCAAUCGGAGAGGUAUUUUGAAUUUUAUGUUAUUUCCCCUACAUAUAAACUUUCGUUGGCUUCAUUUUACCUUGAUGGUGAGGUGCUUGAAUGGUAUUACUGGCGUUUUCUCAGAAAACAACUAGUUGAUUGGGCACAUUUUAUUGAGAAACUCUGUCAGCAUUUUCGUAAAUAGACCUUGGAAGGACCUAAGGGUUGCCCUGAGAAGCUCUAACAACACUCCACGGUGGAUGAAUUUCAAUCUGGUUUAUCAUGCAAAUGAGAAUGAAGACAUCUUUGAGUCAUGUUUACAAGCAUCUUCCCAGAAUAAGAUGACACUAUAAUUUUUGCAGCAGCACCUGAGCAAUCAAUUAAAAGAAUUAUGAAGAUUUUGGGUCAAUAUGAAUCUCAAGCUGGCCAACUGAUCAAUAAAAUUAAAAAUGUUUGAUACAUGCAUCAGAAGGUUUGAUUGUUAUACAUACAAUUUUUUUAGAGGUCAAUUUUUGAUCGCUUAUUCAGGAUGUUAUCACCCAUGCAAAAAAGAGGGAGAGCGAUUGUAAUGAUCUCAUUAAAAAGGUGCAGGAUAAGGUUUUAACCUAGAAAGAGAAGAUGUUAUCUCAUGGUGGUAAGGCUA